CACAAUCUCAGCUCACUGCAACCUCCGGAUCCAGGAUUCAAGCGAUUCUCCUGCCUCAGCCUCCGGAGUAGCUGGGAUUACAGGAAUCGUUUAUGGAACAACCUAUACAAUACCUUGGUGAACACUUCUUGUGCACUUGAGAAGAGUGAAUCUGCUGCGCACACUGCUCUGAUUGUGUCAGUUGGGUAAGUCAGUCUGUAGCACUGAUCAAUAUCGAAUAUUCUUCUUACUGAUGUUUUUUGUUUCAUUGUUUUGUCAAUUAUUAAGAUUGUUUAAAAUCUACUAUGAUGAAGAAUUUAUCUAUUUCUCCUGUUAGUUCUGUCAUUAUGCUUCAUGGAUUUUGAAGUUUAUACACUUUAUUCAUUUUGAAAAUCAUCCUUAUUCUUCCUGCUAAUACUCCAUAAUUUGAAGUCUGCUUUGUAAGAUGUUCAUAUAGCCAUGAAACUCCUUAAGUUUACCUGCACAAUGUAUGUUGUUUUCCAUCUUAUCAACCUGAGUCAUACAUGGUUGUCUCCUGUAGGACACAAAUAGUUUGAUCAUUUUUUUAAAAUCUAAUCUGUUAAUACAUACCUUUUAAUAAGAGUUUAGUUCAUUUAACUUCAUGUGAUUGUUUGCUUUUAAGUCCACUGUAUUGAUUUGUUCUAUUUGUACCAUUUCUUUCACUGAGUGUGUACUUCUCCUUUCCUUUCUUCAUGUGGGUUAUCUGAAUCGUUUUAAAUAUUAAAUUUGAAAUCCUCCACUGGAUUUUUAGUUGCACUUCUUUUUAUUAAAAAAAAUACCACUCUCAUAUUUACAAUGUGCAUCAUUGUCUGACCAUAGUCUUCUUAGGGCUAACACUG
rnacentral:lncRNA from 1 species